AUGGAUUUUACUAUUGCAGUCCCUACGCUAGGUCUGCAGACCCCCAAACUUACGAUCCAGCCCAACCACCCUGAGUAUUUUGAAGGGGAGAGGAUUGAGCUCAUUUGCUCAGCUUCCCAAAACAGGACGGUGGAAGGAUACAGGUUCUUCGAUCCAGAUGAGCGGAUGAUCCACAAAAUGGCCGCCAGCCCUUAUCAAAAGGGGAAGCUGCCUCUCACGCUUCAGAUGAACAGCACUGGGAAUUAUUUCUGUGAUUACUGGAUGGAAGAAAGUGGAGAAGCCACGUCAGGACCAAGCAACGCCACUUUCAUCCGUGUAAAUGAGGCCCCUGCUGCUCCCUCUCUCUCUGUGCAUCCCGAACUCCCUGCAUACAACUUGGGAGACUCCAUCACCCUUUCAUGUUCAGCCCCACUGGGAGCAAAGGAAGUCAAGCAAUUCCAAUAUUACAGUGACUUGAUGUGUGUAUCAGCCAUGGCACUGCAUGACAAUGUCUAUAGGUACAACUUGAGUAUCAUGGAGUCCACGGACAUGGGGGUCUUCAGAUGCGCCUAUCUGGUGCACCUUUCUGGGCGAAACGUACUUUCCAAGAAGAGUGAACCAGUCUCCAUUGAAGGGCUAGGAGUCAGAUGGAAAUGGAUGUUGGCUGUUGGGGGGUCCUUCUUCACCAUCAACACCCUUAUCUUCCUAAUCUCCCACUGCUUUUUUUAAACCACAGGUAAACAUGGCUUCCUAAUGAAGUACCAGGCUUUCUGUGUGUGUGUGUGUAGUUGAAAGAGAAUGAAGUAGUUCCACUUUAUGCCUCAGUCAUGUCUAGGUACAUUUGCUGUAGCCCUUGCUACAGUGUGUAGAAACUGUCAUCCAGCUGCCGUGUACCUGGAAGAAAAUCAGCCAUAUUCUCAUCUGAAGCUUUAUGCCUAUGUCUAGGUACAUUUGCUGUAGCCCUUGCUACAGUGUGUAGAAACUGUCAUCCAGCUGCCGUGUACCUGGAAGAAAAUCAGCCAUAUUCUCAUCUGAAGGGGGUUCGCUGUUAUAUGGUGUUACACCAAGUGAGGCAAUUGAUGAUGCUGAGGGACAGUCAUGGCAUACCCUCUACCUGUAGUCCUUGCUACAGUGUGUAGAAACUUCCAUUCAGCUGCCAUGGAAGAAAGGCAGCCAUAUUCUCAUCUGAAGGGGGUUCGCUGUUAUAUGGUGUUACACCAAGUGAGGCAAUUGAUGAUGCUGAGGGACAGUCAUGGCAUACCCUCUAGCUGUUCUUCCUGACCCCUUUCAGAUGUCCCAAACCUUCUCAGUCAGCCUCACCUAGUGGGGACAGGCCACACGAACCUGCCAGUUCUAAAGAAAGGUUUCCCUCCCUGUCCAGGCAGCUUCUUUACAUGAGUAGAGAAGGGACGCCAUCUUGUUUUGUUGGGAUUCUUGCCUCAAGCCGCAAAAUGUCUUGGACUGCCCUAAUGAAGCAUUGGAGUAUGACC
ensembl:lncRNA uncharacterized LOC110070559